rnacentral:rRNA from 1 species
UUAGAGUUUGAUCCUGGCUCAGAACGAACGCUGGCGGCGUGGAUAAGACAUGCAAGUCGAACGAGAGAAUUGCUAGCUUGCUAAUAAUUCUCUAGUGGCGCACGGGUGAGUAACACGUGAGUAACCUGCCCCCGAGAGCGGGAUAGCCCUGGGAAAUUGGGAUUAAUACCGCAUAGUAUCGAAAGAUUAAAGCAGCAAUGCGCUUGGGGAUGGGCUCGCGGCCUAUUAGUUAGUUGGUGAGGUAACGGCUCACCAAGGCGAUGACGGGUAGCCGGUCUGAGAGGAUGUCCGGCCACACUGGAACUGAGACACGGUCCAGACACCUACGGGUGGCAGCAGUCGAGAAUCAUUCACAAUGGGGGAAACCCUGAUGGUGUGACGCCGCGUGGGGGAAUGAAGGUCUUCGGAUUGUAAACCCCUGUCAUGUGGGAGCAAAUUAAAAAGAUAGUACCACAAGAGGAAGAGACGGCUAACUCUGUGCCAGCAGCCGCGGUAAUACAGAGGUCUCAAGCGUUGUUCGGAAUCACUGGGCGUAAAGCGUGCGUAGGCUGUUUCGUAAGUCGUGUGUGAAAGGCGCGGGCUCAACCCGCGGACGGCACAUGAUACUGCGAGACUAGAGUAAUGGAGGGGGAACCGGAAUUCUCGGUGUAGCAGUGAAAUGCGUAGAUAUCGAGAGGAACACUCGUGGCGAAGGCGGGUUCCUGGACAUUAACUGACGCUGAGGCACGAAGGCCAGGGGAGCGAAAGGGAUUAGAUACCCCUGUAGUCCUGGCAGUAAACGGUGCACGCUUGGUGUGCGGGGAAUCGACCCCCUGCGUGCCGGAGCUAACGCGUUAAGCGUGCCGCCUGGGGAGUACGGUCGCAAGAUUAAAACUCAAAGAAAUUGACGGGGACCCGCACAAGCGGUGGAGUAUGUGGCUUAAUUCGAUGCAACGCGAAGAACCUUACCUGGGCUUGACAUGUAAUGAACAACAUGUGAAAGCAUGCGACUCUUCGGAGGCGUUACACAGGUGCUGCAUGGCCGUCGUCAGCUCGUGUCGUGAGAUGUUUGGUUAAGUCCAGCAACGAGCGCAACCCCUGUUGCCAGUUACCAGCACGUGAAGGUGGGGACUCUGGCGAGACUGCCCAGAUCAACUGGGAGGAAGGUGGGGACGACGUCAGGUCAGUAUGGCCCUUAUGCCCAGGGCUGCACACGUACUACAAUGCCCAGUACAGAGGGGGCCGAAGCCGCGAGGCGGAGGAAAUCCUGAAAACUGGGCCCAGUUCGGACUGUAGGCUGCAACCCGCCUACACGAAGCCGGAAUCGCUAGUAAUGGCGCAUCAGCUACGGCGCCGUGAAUACGUUCCCGGGUCUUGUACACACCGCCCGUCA